AAAAUUCCAACAAUGUAAUAUUAUUUAUACAAGCUACAAAAAUGUGAAUAUGGUAAAAUAUAAUCAAAUCAAUUUACAAUUAGAAGUUUAAUAAAAGGGAGAAUAUUAAAGAGAGAUAUGUGGAUCUGAAUUAUCAGUUUUGAGCUUGGAGGUGUUUGGGCGUCUACCUUGUUGUGUGCUUUACUUUGUGACUUGGCCUCAGGUUGCAGAUCGUCCGUCCCCUCUUUCUCAACUAUAUUGCUGUGUUUUACACAUAAUAACCAAAUAAACCAGAUAUUAAAAUUAAUUUUUCGUAAUAAUUUAAAAUAUUUAUUGGGUAAAAAGCUUCAUUUUUUUUAAAAAAAAAUCAAAAUGGGAGGAAGAUAAAGUUAAAUUUGUUAGUAAAUUUAAUAAAAAUUUGUUUUACCAAGCACAAAAUACAGUUAAAAUUAUUUUAAAUCAGUCCUAACACUGCUAAAGUUAACCCCAAAAUGCUCCCAAAAAUAUUUAAAAAAAAAAAGACGAAAAAAGAAAAAGAAAAAGGGAUGCAAGGAGGCCCCCAUUGAAAUUUUUUUAACUUACAACGUAGAAUAGGAGAUGAUUCAUUGGUGUAUGUGGGGGUCAAGCAUCUUACUUUCCUUUCUUUUCUUUUCUUUUUUUUCGUUUUUCUCUUUUUCUUCCUUUAUAUGCCCAUCAUAUUACAAAUAAGAUGGAAAAGAUUCAAACCAAAAUAACUCUUAUCAAACGUCUAGGAAUUUCCAAAAUUGUCAAAAUUACAUAUACA
rnacentral:lncRNA from 1 species